rnacentral:misc_RNA from 1 species
GAAGUCGUUACUCCAACCCUCUGGGAGGAGGACGCCGAAGGUGGGGCUGAUGACUGGGGUGAAGUCGUAACAAGGUAGCCGUACCGGAAGGUGCGGCUGGAUCACCUCCUAACAGGGAGACAACAAAAUGUAAAUAUUAAUUUUGUCACCUUAGGUCGAUCGGUAUCUCAGAUUCUUAAUUUUUUAAGAAUUUCAGUUUCUAAGUUUUUUCUAGGUCACACCCAUCACUUUUUCCUGGGCCAUUAGCUCAGGUGGUUAGAGCGCACCCCUGAUAGGGGUGAGGUCCCUGGUUCAAGUCCAGGAUGGCCCAUAUCUCUAUGUUGGGGGUAUAGCUCAGUUGGUAGAGCGCCUGCUUUGCAAGCAGGAUGUCAGCGGUUCGAGUCCGCUUACCUCCACUGAAUACCACCUCUUACAUAUAGUUGAAGUGGGAAAUUGUUUUGAGUCGUGUCCUAAUUUGCUCUGAGCGAAUCUAGCUUCCUAUUUUAUCCAAGAAAUAAGAUGCUGGACUCAUUGAAUUUUCUUCAUUGUUUUCAGAGAACCUUGACAACUGCAUAGAUUAUUUUUAAAGACAAUAAGCAUCUUUAAUGAUGCAGAUUUAUUAUUUGUGCGAAUGCAUUAAAUAACAAUUCUAUUAAGCUGAUGCUUCAAUUAUUGAAGUUAUUGGUCAAGCUACAAAGGGCUCACGGAGGAUACCUAGGCACACAGAGGCGAUGAA